UACAGAGGUGGCAAGCGUUGUUCGGAAUUACUGGGCGUAAAGGGCGCGUAGGCGGCCUUCUAAGUCAGACGUGAAAUCCCCCGGCUUAACCUGGGAACUGCGUCUGAUACUGGAGGGCUUGAGUGCGGGAGAGGGAUGUGGAAUUCCAGGUGUAGCGGUGAAAUGCGUAGAUAUCUGGAGGAACACCGGUGGCGAAGGCGGCAUCCUGGACCGACACUGACGCUGAGGCGCGAAAAGCUAGGGUAGCAAACGGG
rnacentral:rRNA from 1 species